CCUUGGUUAGCUCACUUGGUAGAGCGCUCCACUGAAAAUGAAGAGGUCCCUGGUCGAUACCAAGACCAAGCG
rnacentral:tRNA from 1 species